UACGUAGGGGGCAAGCGUUGUCCGGAAUUAUUGGGCGUAAAGAGCGUGUAGGCGGUCCGGUAAGUCAGCUGUGAAAGUCAAGGGCUCAACCCUUGAAAGCCGGUUGAUACUGUCGGGCUAGAGUCCGGAAGAGGCGAGUGGAAUUCCCGGUGUAGCGGUGAAAUGCGCAGAUAUCGGGAGGAACACCGGUGGCGAAGGCGGCAUCCUGGACCGGCAUUGACGCUGAGGCGCGAAAGCCAGGGGAGCAAACGGG
rnacentral:rRNA from 1 species